rnacentral:rRNA from 1 species
UCGUAGGAAUCUACCUUGUAGUGGGGGAUAACCUGGGGAAACUCGGGCUAAUACCGCAUAAUCUCUUUGGAGCAAAGCGGGGGAUCUUCGGACCUCGUGCUAUAAGAUGAGCCUACGUCGGAUUAGCUUGUUGGUGGGGUAAUGGCCUACCAAGGCGACGAUCCGUAGCUGGUCUGAGAGGACGAUCAGCCACACUGGGACUGAGACACGGCCCAGACUCCUACGGGAGGCAGCAGUGGGGAAUAUUGGACAAUGGGGGAAACCCUGAUCCAGCAAUGCCGCGUGUGUGAAGAAGGCCUUCGGGUUGUAAAGCACUUUCGGUGGGGAAGAAAUUCUCAAGGGUAAUAUCCUUGGGCGUUGACGUUACCCACAGAAGAAGCACUGGCUAACUCUGUGCCAGCAGCCGCGGUAAUACAGAGAGUGCAAGCGUUAAUCGGAAUCACUGGGCGUAAAGCGCGCGUAGGUGGAUAUUUAAGUCGGAUGUGAAAGCCCUGGGCUUAACCUGGGAAUUGCACCCGAUACUGGGUAUCUUGAGUAUGGUAGAGGGAAGUGGAAUUUCCGGUGUAGCGGUGAAAUGCGUAGAUAUCGGAAAGAACACCAGUGGCGAAGGCGACUUCCUGGACCAAUACUGACACUGAGGCGCGAAAGCGUGGGGAGCAAACAGGAUUAGAGACCC